UGAAACAUAUUUCUAUUCCAUUCUCAAAUAGUAUAAGCUUAACGUUCUAUUACCAAUGUUAAACAAAGGACCAUAUAAAAUAAUAUGAAUGAUGAUGAAUCACAAUACAAUGGCAAAUUUAUGCAUCCGUUGACCUAAAUAUUUAAAACAAAUAGGUGAUCAUUGUGGCGACAUUAUAAACAACAAGUCAACAACACAAAUAAAAUAAAUGAAUUAAUAAUUACAAAGAUAACAAAAUUUCACUAUAAAUAGACUGCAAAUUUCAAUCCAGUUUCCACAACAGACAAUCAAAGCUUAAAGCCAAAGAAAAAGAAAAAGAAAAAGAAAGCACGAGAAGAAAUGGCAAAGAUAUCCAACUUUGCAUGCUUGACCACAACCGUUUUACUUGUCUUCUUGGUUGUUUCCAAUGGAAUCCCGAAGAGCAACGCAUGUCAUACAUUCUUAGGUGAAUGCGAUGUGCCAUCACCAUGUACUGAAACCAAUUGUGAAGCCUGUUGUCUAUCAAAGUUUGGAGCUCUCCAUUGUGACGGUGUGUGUGAAGUUGAAGGUACGGAAGAACACUGCCACUGCUAUGGACAGCCAUGAAAAUUUAAUCAACCACCAAGCAAAUAUACGUGCAAAACAUCUCGCUUUAUCACUUUGUUUGUAAUUCACGUAUCUGUGCAUAAAUAAUAGAUGGGGGAGUUGUCCCACUGCUCAAGCCUAUUUAUACAUGUACUCUUGUGUUGUGUGCUCUUUUAAUAAAAUACAUCUGAUGUUUGUUUGUAA